GUGCCUUGCGUAGAGAACUACUCUGCUGUGAGCUUCUGUUUGCCCAAAUUAAGGUUCCAAGGCUCAUACGAAGAAAGAUUUUAUGGUGCCCUGCGUAGAGAACUACUCUGCUAUGAGCUUCCGUUUGCCCAAAUUAAGGUUCCAAGGCUCAUACGAAGAAAGAUUUUAUGGUGCCCUGCGUAGAGAACUACUCUGCUAUGAGCUUCUAUUUGCCCAAGUUAAGGUUCCAAGGCUCAUACAAAGAAAGAUUUUACGGUGCCCUGCGUAGAGAACUCUGCUGUGAGCUUCGGUUUGCCCAAAUUAAGGUUCCAAGGCUUAUACAAAAUUAGAUUUUACAGUUUGCCCUGCGUAGAGAACUACUCUGCUGUGAGCUCCUUUUUGCCUAAAUUAAGGUUCCAAGGCUCAUACAAAGAAAGAUUUUACAGUGUCCUGCGUAGAGAGCUCUGCUAUGAGCGUCUUUUGCCCAAAUUAAGGUAUGUGGUUCUAGAUCCCCCCCAUGUUUAAUGCUAGCAGUCUCUUCCUCUCACAUUGGUGUACAUAUCAUGUGGAUGUGUAAUGUCUUGUUUUAUGCUUUCUUUACCCUCAGGUUCCAAGGCUUACACAAAUAAAGAUUUUACGGUGCCCUGCGUAGAGAACUACUCUAUGAGCUACUAUUUGCCCAAGUUAAGAUUCCAAGGCUCAUACGAAUAAAGAUUUUAUGGUGCCCUGCAUAGAGAACUACUCAGCUGUGAGCUUCUGUUUUCCCAAAUUAAGAUUCCAAGGCUCAUAUGAAGAAAGAUUUUACGGUGCACUGCGAAGAGAAUUCUGCUAUGAGCUUCUGUUUGCUCAAGUUAAGGUAUGUGGUUCUAGAUCCCCCCAUGUGCAAUGCUAGCAGACCCUUCCUCUCUCAUAUUCGUGUAUCUUGUGGAUGUGUAAUGUCUUGUUUUAUCCUUUACCCUCAGGUUCCAAGGCUUAUACGAAGAAAGAUUUAACGGUGCCAUGCGUAGUGAACUCUGCUAUGAGCUUCUGUUUUCCCAAAUUAAGGUUCCAAGGCUUAUACGAAGAAAGAUUUAACUGUGCCCUGCAUAGAGAACUACUCUGCUGUCAGCUUCUGUUUGCCCAAAUUAAGGUUCCAAGGCUUAUACAAAAAAGAUUUUACGGUGCCCUGCGUAGAGAACUCGGCUAUGAGCUUCUAUUUGCCCAAAUUAAGGUUCCAAGGCUUAUACGAAAUUAGAUAUUGUGCCCUGCAUAGAGAACUACUCUGCUAUGAGCUUCUAUUUGCCCAAGUUAAGGUUUCAAGCCUCAUACGAAGAAAGAUUUUACGGUGCCCUGCAUAGAGAACUACUCUGCUGUGAGCUUCUAUUUGCCCAAAUUAAGGUUUCAAGGCUUAUACGAAAUUAGAUUUUACGGUGCCCUGCAUAGAGAACUACUCUGCUAUGAGCUUCUGUUUGCCCAAAUUAAGCCAUUGACAUGUCACCGAGGUAAACACGUGCGGAGAGGAUAAAAAUUGUUGAUGUCUGGUGAACGCAGUAACCGGGUCAUUGCAGCAGAUUUCAAUGCAAGACAGCCUUCAAGACCACCCAUAUCCCAUGCUACAGUUGGCAAACUGCUUGCCAAGUUUCGUGAAACUGGUUCAGUGUUGGAUUUGCCAAAAUGUGGACAAAUGAAAUCUGUCACUAAUGAAGAAACAUCAGU